rnacentral:lncRNA from 1 species
GAACUCCUCAGAGGGCACCGCCCUGGACAGAAUGGUCCUGGAGUUCCUCCCUUCUCCCGGCAGGGCAGGCAUUUAUUUAAAGUACAAGACUGUGGGAAGCUGUGCUGCAGAGAAGAGGGACACUGAAAAGAUGCACCAGUGCAAUGCCUGCUGUUUGAGGAAAGCCUGGUGACUCCUUUACAGUAACAGGCUUGAACCUAAGGCCUGGCAUGCAACCAGCAUUGCACUCCCUGAGAGCCUUCCAACGCGCACUCCCUGAGAGCCUUCCAACGCCGUGCUACUUCCACAAGAACACAGAACUGGCCCACGCUCUCUCACUCUCUCAGCCUCUCAGCCUCUUGACCUCCCUGUCUCCAGUGAUCUACAUUCCUGCUCUAAUCUCAGACAUCACUCCUGUUUCCCCUCCAGAACCAGGAAGUUAAAAUCCCCAGGCUCGGACCACCAACUGCUCACUUUCCAAAUUGCUGGCCAACCCCAUGUACCCCAAGGGUAGGGGCAAAUUUGUAAAUUCAGCUCAAUGUUAAACCAUAAACGAUUAAACCAUUAAACCAAUUACAUAAAA